AUUGAACGCUGGCGGCAUGCCUUACACAUGCAAGUCGAACGGCAGCACGGGAGCAAUCCUGGUGGCGAGUGGCGAACGGGUGAGUAAUAUAUCGGAACGUGCCCAGUCGUGGGGAUAACGUAGCGAAAGCUACGCUAAUACCGCAUACGAUCUAUGGAUGAAAGCGGGGGAUCGCAAGACCUCGCGCGAUUGGAGCGGCCGAUAUCAGAUUAGGUAGUUGGUGAGGUAAAGGCUCACCAAGCCGACGAUCUGUAGCUGGUCUGAGAGGACGACCAGCCACACUGGGACUGAGACACGGCCCAGACUCCUACGGAGGCAGCAGUGGGGAAUUUUGGACAAUGGGCGCAAGCCUGAUCCAGCAAUGCCGCGUGCAGGAUGAAGGCCUCGGUUGUAACUG
rnacentral:rRNA from 1 species